rnacentral:rRNA from 1 species
AUACGGAGGAUCCGAGCGUUAUCCGGAUUUAUUGGGUUUAAAGGGUGCGUAGGCGGGAUAAUAAGUCAGUGGUGAAAGUUUGCAGCUUAACUGUAAAAUUGCCGUUGAAACUGUUAUUCUUGAGAGUAGAUAAGGUAGGCGGAAUGUGUUGUGUAGCGGUGAAAUGCAUAGAUAUAACACAGAACCCCGAUUGCGAAGGCAGCUUACCGGGCUACAUCUGACGCUGAUGCACGAAGGUGCGGGGAUC